rnacentral:tRNA from 1 species
GGUGAAAAUAGCUCAGCGGUAGAGCACAGGUAUGUGGGACCAAAGGUCGAGAGUUCAAAUCUCUUUUUUCACU